AAUACCUAGGCCGGGCACAGUGGCUCACCCGGCCACAUUCUUCUUUUUGAGGUGGAGUUUCACUCUUGUCUGCCGGGCUGCAGUGCAAUGGCGCAAUCUUGGCUCACUGCAACCUCCACCUCCUGGCUACUUUUUGUAUUUUCAGUAGAGAUGGGGUUUCACCAUGUUUGCCAGGCUGGUCUUGAACUCCUGACCUCAGGUGAUCCGCCUGCCUCAGUCUCCCAAGGUGUUGAAAUUACAGGCGUGAGCCACUGCGCCCAGCCCCAAAUGAGGUCACAUUCUGAGGUACUGAGGUUUAGGACUGCAAUGUCUUUUUUGGGGGGACACAGUUUAACCUUUAAGAGUCCAACCUGAUCUCAUGUGUCUGAUCUCUGCAGUGUGGCCUGCUUUGCUAAUAGAGGAUGUCAGACCGUCCAGGAAAAUGAUCCUGCUGACACCCACCAAGUUAAGGGAUAUAGUGAUUCUCCAAGGCAUAUGUGUAUUGACAAAAUUUACCCCAACAUUCUGUACAGCAAAUUCAGUUUUGAAAAAGGAGAACUAGACUAGGCGUGGUGGCUCAUGCCUGUAAUCCAGCACUUUGGGAGGCUGAGGUGGGUGGAUCACCUGAGGUCACGAGUUCAAGACCAGCCUGACCAACAUGUAGAAACCUCGUCUCUACUAAAAAUGUAAAAAUUACCCGGGCGUGGUGGUGCAUGCCUGUAAUCCCAGCUACUCGGGAGGCUGAGGCAGGAGAAUCACUUGAAUCCAGGAGGUGGAGGUUGCAGUGAGCUGAGAUCAUGCCAUUGCGCUCCAGCCUGGGCAACAAGAGCAAAACUCCGUCUCAAAAAAAAAAAAAAAAAAAGAAAGAAAGAAAAGAAAAGAAAAAGAGAACUAGGCUGGGUAGGUUAGCUCACGCCUGUAAUCCCAGCAUUUUGGGAGGCCAUGGCAGGAGGAUCGCUUGUGUCCAGGAGUUUUGAGACUGGCCUAGGCAACAUAUUAGAUCCCAUCUUUAUAAAUAAUAAAAAAUUAGCCAGGUGUGGUGGUGUGUGCAUGUAGUCUCAGCUACUUGGCAGGCUGAGGUGGGAGGGUCACUUGAACCCAGGAGGUCAAGGCUGCAGUGAGCCAUAAUCGUGCCUCUGGACUCCAGUCUAGGCAACAGAAUGAAACUUCAUCUCAAAACAACAACAACAAAAAAGAAGCUGGUCACAGUGGCUCUAGCCUUUAAUCCCAGCACUUUGGGAGGCUGAGGCAAGCGGAUCGCUUGAGCCCAGGAGUUCAAGACCAGCCUGGGCAACGUGGCAAGACCCCCUGUCUCUACAAAAAAAAAAAAAAAAAAAAAAACACAAAAAUUAGCCAGAUGUGGUGAUGCAGGCCUGUAGCCCUAGCUACUUGGGAGGCUGAGCUGAGAGGAUCACUUGCACCCGGGAGGCAGAGGUUAUAGUGGGCUGAGAUUGUGCCACUGCACUCCAGUCUGGGCAAGAGACCAAGACCCCUGUGAAAAAAAAAGAAGGAAGGAAGGAAGGGAGGAAGGGAGGGAGGGAACAAGUUGAAGGUCUUACCUCUACCUGACUUUAAGACUUAUUUUGAGGCCGGGCGUGGUGACUCAUGUCUGUAAUCUCAGCACUUUGGGAGGCUGAGGUGGGUGAAUAACCUGAGGUCAGGAGUUCCAGACCAGCCUGGCCAACACGGCGAAUCCCUGUUUCUACUAAAAAUACAAAAAUUAGCUGGAUGUGGCAGCAGGCACCUGUAAUCCUAGCUACUCGGGAGGCUGAAGCAGGAGAAUCGCUUGAACCCGGGAGCCGAGGUUGCAGUGAGCCCAGAACGUGCCAUUGCACUCCAGCCUGGGCAAUAGAGAGAGACUCUGUCUUAAAAAAGAGACUUUUUUUUUUGAGACAGGGUCUUGCUCUGUCACCCAGGCUGAAGUGUAGUGGCCCCGUCUCGGCUCACUGCAACCUCCACCUCCCAGGUUCAAGCAAUUCUCCUGCCUCAGCCUCCCGAGUAGCUGGGACUACAGGUGCGUGCCACCACAUCCGGCUAAUUUUUGUAUGUUUAGUAGAGACAGGAUUUCACUGCGUUGACCAGGCUGGUCUCAAACUCCUAACCUCGUGAUCCGCCCGCCUCGGCCUCCCAAAGUGCUGGGAUUACAGGCGUGAACCACCAUGCCCGGCCGAGACUUUUUUUUUUUUAAUUUUGAGGAAUUUAUGGGGUUUUUUUUCCCCAAGACUUAUUUUAUUUUUAUUU
rnacentral:lncRNA from 10 species